rnacentral:lncRNA from 1 species
GUCCGCGCGCGCGGGGCGGCCGCGGCGGUGAGCCUGCGCGUCAGGGCCGCCGGCCUCUCCUUGGCUGUUGGAGGUGAUAGGGGUCGAGGGGAGGGAAAAAGGGGCUGGCGUCAGCCGCCCCUGUGAGGUGGCCGUAGCGUGGACGAGUAAGAAGGGUUGAGUAAAGUGGACAAACACCUGGUUAGGAGAAGAGGGCAGGCCCGCAGCCGCCCUCCGGAGGAGGACUCGGGGCCUCGCGGGCGCCGGAGGAGGUUCCUGGGCCUCGGAGGGCCGCCCCGGCGCGCCGCCCCGGCGCGAGCGGGCGCGGGCGGGGGAGGGGAAGUGAGAGGUUGUUUAUGACCGGGGACUAAUCUCCUCCGCGAGUCCCAGCGCUCCCUCUGGGGAGUGCGGUUGAGGGGCUGUCCUCGCACGGAGCCUCGCUCGGCCUCGGGGGAGCCACGAGAGGUGGGAGUUGGACCCGCAGCGGGCCAGGAGCCCUGUCAUUGGAGGACCCGCCAAAAAGGAAGCAAACCCUCUUUUUCUUUAUCCAACCCCAAAUAGCUAGGGCCUAGGGGGAAGACUCACAUAUCGAUAAAUGGUUUGUUGCCCGUUUUAUUCUCUGGGAAAUACAACUGAUCUUACCAAAGAAAUAACCUGUCUCUUGCCGUGUUUACUUAGAGCCAUAGAAUACCUGUUUCAGAGCUGAAGGGGACCUGAGCCCAUGAUAAUCCAUUACCUCGUGAGAAAGCGGAAAAACUGACUUCAGCUUGCCCAGAUGGCGCAGAGAAUGGGUUUCCCGUAACCCCGCCUGUGUCUUUCCUUCAGCCUCGUCCCAAAUGCCGUGGGAGGGAAGGCACUCUCUGUCAAGCUGCUGUCACCUUACCUGAAGUAAGGAGUCCACGCCUGCAUGUCCGAGGAAAACAGUUUUCUCAAACACAUUAGUUGAAAAACUGAAGACGCUGCCUAAAAUACAAGCUGAGUUAGAGACAGCCCUUGUAAGACUAGGUCUUGAGCCUACUUGCCUUCAGAUUGGAACUUUACCAUCUGCUCUCCUGGUUCUCAGGCCUUCAGGGGAGUCUAGAACUAUGCCACUGACUCUCCUGGUCUCCAGUUUUUCAACUUCAAAUCUUGGGAUUUAGUCUCGAUGAUCAUAGGAAAUCAGAAGUGGAGAGGAUGUAUGCAGAGGGAGCUGUGAGAAGUGGACAGCUGCCCACACUAACCAGUGAGACUAAAGACCCAGCCAAGUUCUUCAGGGAGAUUGCUUUGGUAGCUAUGGGAAUAAUAUGGACAAGCAAGCAAGUCAUCUGGACUCUUGAUGGGCUGAGAUGCCACGCUGGCAAGCAGGUGGUCAACCUCUAGGAGAUUCAACAAGCAUGCCUGUGAGGGUUCAGAGCGCUGUGUCAGGAAUGUGAUGGGAAGUAACAGGCAAAGGCAAAAUAUUACUGGUAUUAAGGAAAUGGCGUUAAAGAAAACGGACACUUCACUGUCUACUUGUGUCAGAGCUUCCCCAUGGUCAUUUAAUCUAACACGCCUGUAAGCUAAGUGUUCCUACUUUUUCAGAAAAAGAAAUGGAAACUAAGUAACAUGAAUUAACAUAGUCCAGGGUCACAAAGCAACAUGGAACAAGAACCUGGAUCUGAAUUCAGAGGCAGAAUGCUGGGUAAGU